CCCUUAGAUGUUCUGGGCCGCACGCGUGCUACACUGAGUGGAUCAGCGGGUCAGGUUGCGCGAAAGUGUUUCCUAAUCUUGAAAUCCGCUCGUGAUGGGGAUUGACGGUUGCAAUUUUCCGUCAUGAACGAGGAAUACCUUGUAAGCGCGGGUCAUCAUCCCGCGCUGAAUACGUCCCUGCCCUUUGUACACACCGCCCGUCGCUCCUACCGAUUGAAUGUUCCGGUGAGCUCUUCGGACUGCGCGGUCUGCAGUUUCUGCGUUCCGUGCGGAAAGUUGUGCAAACCUUAACAUUUAGAGGAAGGAGAAGUCGUAACA
rnacentral:rRNA from 1 species